ACUAUCAUUAACUGAAUCCAUAGGUUAAUGAGGCGAACCGGGGGAACUGAAACAUCUAAGUACCCCGAGGAAAAGAAAUCAACCGAGAUUCCCCCAGUAGCGGCGAGCGAACGGGGAGGAGCCCAGAGCCUGAAUCAGUGUGUGUGUUAGUGGAAGCGUCUGGAAAGGCGCGCGAUACAGGGUGACAGCCCCGUACACAAAAAUGCACAUAUUGUGAGCUCGAUGAGUAGGGCGGGACACGUGGUAUCCUGUCUGAAUAUGGGGGGACCAUCCUCCAAGGCUAAAUACUCCUGACUGACCGAUAGUGAACCAGUACCGUGAGGGAAAGGCGAAAAGAACCCCGGCGAGGGGAGUGAAAAAGAACCUGAAACCGUGUACGUACAAGCAGUGGGAGCCUCUUUAUGGGGUGACUGCGUACCUUUUGUAUAAUGGGUCAGCGACUUAUAUUCUGUAGCAAGGUUAACCGAAUAGGGGAGCCGAAGGGAAACCGAGUCUUAACUGGGCGUUAAGUUGCAGGGUAUAGACCCGAAACCCGGUGAUCUAGCCAUGGGCAGGUUGAAGGUUGGGUAACACUAACUGGAGGACCGAACCGACUAAUGUUGAAAAAUUAGCGGAUGACUUGUGGCUGGGGGUGAAAGGCCAAUCAAACCGGGAGAUAGCUGGUUCUCCCCGAAAGCUAUUUAGGUAGCGCCUCGUGAAUUCAUCUCCGGGGGUAGAGCACUGUUUCGGCAAGGGGGUCAUCCCGACUUACCAACCCGAUGCAAACUGCGAAUACCGGAGAAUGUUAUCACGGGAGACACACGGCGGGUGCUAACGUCCGUCGUGAAGAGGGAAACAACCCAGACCGCCAGCUAAGGUCCCAAAGUCAUGGUUAAGUGGGAAACGAUGUGGGAAGGCCCAGACAGCCAGGAUGUUGGCUUAGAAGCAGCCAUCAUUUAAAGAAAGCGUAAUAGCUCACUGGUCGAGUCGGCCUGCGCGGAAGAUGUAACGGGGCUAAACCAUGCACCGAAGCUGCGGCAGCGACACUAUGUGUUGUUGGGUAGGGGAGCGUUCUGUAAGCCUGUGAAGGUGGCCUGUGAGGGUUGCUGGAGGUAUCAGAAGUGCGAAUGCUGACAUAAGUAACGAUAAAGCGGGUGAAAAGCCCGCUCGCCGGAAGACCAAGGGUUCCUGUCCAACGUUAAUCGGGGCAGGGUGAGUCGACCCCUAAGGCGAGGCCGAAAGGCGUAGUCGAUGGGAAACAGGUUAAUAUUCCUGUACUUGGUGUUACUGCGAAGGGGGGACGGAGAAGGCUAUGUUGGCCGGGCGACGGUUGUCCCGGUUUAAGCGUGUAGGCUGGUUUUCCAGGCAAAUCCGGAAAACCAAGGCUGAGGCGUGAUGACGAGGCACUACGGUGCUGAAGCGACAAAUGCCCUGCUUCCAGGAAAAGCCUCUAAGCAUCAGGUAACAUCAAAUCGUACCCCAAACCGACACAGGUGGUCAGGUAGAGAAUACCAAGGCGCUUGAGAGAACUCGGGUGAAGGAACUAGGCAAAAUGGUGCCGUAACUUCGGGAGAAGGCACGCUGAUAUGUAGGUGAAGCGACUUGCUCGUGGAGCUGAAAUCAGUCGAAGAUACCAGCUGGCUGCAACUGUUUAUUAAAAACACAGCACUGUGCAAACACGAAAGUGGACGUAUACGGUGUGACGCCUGCCCGGUGCCGGAAGGUUAAUUGAUGGGGUUAGCGGUAACGCGAAGCUCUUGAUCGAAGCCCCGGUAAACGGCGGCCGUAACUAUAACGGUCCUAAGGUAGCGAAAUUCCUUGUCGGGUAAGUUCCGACCUGCACGAAUGGCGUAAUGAUGGCCAGGCUGUCUCCACCCGAGACUCAGUGAAAUUGAACUCGCUGUGAAGAUGCAGUGUACCCGCGGCAAGACGGAAAGACCCCGUGAACCUUUACUAUAGCUUGACACUGAACAUUGAGCCUUGAUGUGUAGGAUAGGUGGGAGGCUUUGAAGUGUGGACGCCAGUCUGCAUGGAGCCGACCUUGAAAUACCACCCUUUAAUGUUUGAUGUUCUAACGUUGGCCCGUAAUCCGGGUUGCGGACAGUGUCUGGUGGGUAGUUUGACUGGGGCGGUCUCCUCCUAAAGAGUAACGGAGGAGCACGAAGGUUGGCUAAUCCUGGUCGGACAUCAGGAGGUUAGUGCAAUGGCAUAAGCCAGCUUGACUGCGAGCGUGACGGCGCGAGCAGGUGCGAAAGCAGGUCAUAGUGAUCCGGUGGUUCUGAAUGGAAGGGCCAUCGCUCAACGGAUAAAAGGUACUCCGGGGAUAACAGGCUGAUACCGCCCAAGAGUUCAUAUCGACGGCGGUGUUUGGCACCUCGAUGUCGGCUCAUCACAUCCUGGGGCUGAAGUAGGUCCCAAGGGUAUGGCUGUUCGCCAUUUAAAGUGGUACGCGAGCUGGGUUUAGAACGUCGUGAGACAGUUCGGUCCCUAUCUGCCGUGGGCGCUGGAGAACUGAGGGGGGCUGCUCCUAGUACGAGAGGACCGGAGUGGACGCAUCACUGGUGUUCGGGUUGUCAUGCCAAUGGCACUGCCCGGUAGCUAAAUGCGGAAGAGAUAAGUGCUGAAAGCAUCUAAGCACGAAACUUGCCCCGAGAUGAGUUCU
rnacentral:rRNA from 1 species